rnacentral:rRNA from 1 species
UACAGAGGUCUCAAGCGUUGUUCGGAUUCAUUGGGCGUAAAGGGUGCGUAGGCGGCGCGGUAAGUCGGGUGUGAAAUCUUGGAGCUUAACUCCGAAACUGCAUUCGAUACUGCCGUGCUUGAGGACUGGAGAGGAGACUGGAAUUUACGGUGUAGCGGUGAAAUGCGUAGAUAUCGUAAGGAAGACCAGUGGCGAAGGCGGGUCUCUGGACAGUUCCUGACGCUGAGGCGCGAAAGCGUGGGGAGCAAACAGG